GGGGAUAAUAUUAGAAUUGACAUUUAUCUAAU
rnacentral:tmRNA from 1 species